CCCUUAGAUGUUCUGGGCCGCACGCGCGCUACACUGAUGAAUGCAACGAGCUCUACCCUUGACCGAAAGGCCCGGGUAAACUUGUGAAACUUCAUCGUGAUGGGGAUAGAUUAUUGCAAUUAUUAAUCUUCAACGAGGAAUUCCUAGUAAGCGCGAGUCAUCAGCUCGCGUUGAUUACGUCCCUGCCCUUUGUACACACCGCCCGUCGCUCCUACCGAUUGAAUGGUCCGGUGAAAUCUUCGGAUUGCUGACCAAGAUCCAGCAAUGGAGCUUGGUCGCGAGAAGUUGAUUAAACCUUAUUAUUUAGAGGAAGGAGAAGUCGUAACA
rnacentral:rRNA from 1 species